GCCAGUGUGGCAUAGUGAUUUGAGUGCUGGAUUACUACUCUGGAGACCAGGGUUCAAGACCCAGUUUGACC